rnacentral:tRNA from 1 species
UCCCCGGUGGUCUAGUGGCUAGGAUUUGGCACUCUCACUGAUGUGGCCCGGGUUCAAUCCCUGGUCUGGGAU